rnacentral:rRNA from 2 species
CUGGCGGGAGCGGGUGGUCCGGCACUUAGUGUUGGUACUUUCCUGUCUCUUGCCAUCCUUGGGUCUAAGCUGUCUGGCAUUUAGUUGUCGGGCAGUGGCUGCCCAUCGUUUACUGUGAAAAAAUUAGAGUGUUCAAAGCAGGCUUAUGCCGUUGAAUAUAUUAGCAUGGAAUAAUAAGAUAGGACCUUGGUACUAUUUUGUUGGUUUGCGCACCGAGGUAAUGAUUAAGAGGGACAGUUGGGGGUAUUCGUAUUCAAUUGUCAGAGGUGAAAUUCUUGGAUUUCUGGAAGACGAACUACUGCGAAAGCAUUUACCAAGGAUGUUUUCAUUAAUCAAGAACGAAAGUUAGGGGAUCGAAGAUGAUUAGAUACCAUCGUAGUCUUAACCAUAAACUAUGCC